GAGCGAGACCGGAAGCUGCGGAGACCCGGGAAGACCGCCACGCCCUCCCACAAGAGGGCGUCUGCGUCACACCAGCUGUGAGGUCCUGGGCAAGUCAUAAAGCUCUUUGUGCCUCAGUUUCCAUAUCUGAAAAAUGAGGAUAAUAAUAGUGUCUACUUUAUUUGACUGGCCUGGGGAUUUAAGGAGGUAAUACCGGAAAGUGUUUAAAGCAAUUUCUAGCACAAAGGAAACACAGCAAUUGUGAGCAAUUCUUAUGUCUUUGGCCGUGACUGGUGGACUCCGGGCCUCAGCCCCAGUGGCAAAUGUCGUGCUGCCCUGUUGUGCUGUUCUUUAAUAUUGUGCCUGGCUGGUGCUGGGUGCAGCGGAUCCUGGGUGCCUGCUUCUUGCAGAACCUGGAGAGAACAGCGAGGACUGGACUUACCGGCUGACCCAGCAAAUUGGGACCGUGCACGUGAAUCCAAGUGGGAAUGUGUGGAAGUUCUUUGUGUUUGACUGUGAGCAUCCGUAUGUGUUCUCCUUGGAGGUUCACCCACCAGAAAACUGGGAUCAGCAGGAAGAACUUGCACACGCGCCUGGAGGAAUCCAGAACCACUGUUACUCUUGGAGUCGCAUCUCUGAUGUCUUCGGCGAUUUCCAAGAAGGAGACAACUCCUCAGUGAGAGUUCCUGGCUGGGAGGGCGGCUGGCAGUGCGAUGCCAGUAAGGGCCGGGCUGGCAGCGUGUGUGAAAUUCUGGUGCUAGGGAGCUGCCGGGAUUUGUGCUCCUACAUCAUUAAGACCAAAGGAGCUGAAGAAGAAAAGAGAGAUGGUCUUCAUUAAAGAUGAUCACAGUCAUCACACCUCACUGUCACCACGGACAAUCUGCAGGAGGAUGAUGCUGACAUACACUGGUGUGCCGUAGAAAAAUGCUUGAGGGAACUGGGGGGCCCAGUGGAAAUCAUGGUGGCUUCAGGUCCUUGCUCAUCAGCCUCCCCUCCCUGCUCCUGCUCCUGCUGAAGGUGGCCCCGCUCCUGGGCCUGCUCUGUGCUGUGAUCUGGGUGAACCUCAGAAAGGUGGCUGAGGGGAGG
rnacentral:lncRNA from 1 species